UCCCCGGCAGUCCAGUGGCUAAGACUCUGCACUCCCAAGGCAGGGGGCCCGGGUUUGAUGCCUGGUCAGGGAA
rnacentral:tRNA from 1 species